UCCGAGCCCCCCUUGGCUUCCCCCCGUUGCAUUUCCCUCGGUUGAAAGGAAGGCGCGGGAGCUUGGUUUGCAACGGAAAGGGAGUCUCUUCCUCCGCCUCGUCUCGGGGGCUUCUCCCCUGUCCUCCCUCCUCACUGAGGGACAGUCGCUUGGCUCGGUUAUUUCUUUGGCAGGGACACAGCUUUCAGAUUGUGGCGCCUUCAGAAGGAGCGUCUGGAGAAAGAGGAGAUUCGCGCCCAGGAAGCUCUCGCCCUCCUGGAGAAAAAGAGGCUGGUGAGCGCGUUUGAGGCCUGGCGUUCCCGCUACAGGGCAGCCCGGCGGAUCCUGCCAUUGGUGGCUCAGGUGCAGAGAGGGCUGCUAAGCCGCUGUUUCCAGGCCUGGAAGUCUGUCACCGACCGGGCGGCGCUAUGCAGGCAUGGCAGGGAACGCCUGCGACUCGAAUCCCUGAGGGUGCAUUUCCAUCAAUGGGCCCUGAUGUUGCAAGUCCGGGAAAAGGCCAAGAAGACUCUGCUGGAGCUGUGGGCCUUGAAGUGGAGGCGAGCCCACGGAAGGCAGCUCGGAGGACGGUAGCCAGGCUAGCAUCUCCUCGUCGUUGACGAUUGAAGACUCAGGGCACCUUCCUCAUCACGGCUCCCCUUCUCCCAGCCAUUUCCCCAGUGACUCGCAAGAUCUCGCUGCCACAGAUCUUCACAUGCAAGCGCCGUUCCCUCUGGGUUAUGGCCACACCCAGAAUCGGAGGCAGCUGCUGGCGAAAUGCUUUGCGUUUUGGUCGGCCAGGACUGUGCAAAACCUGAAGGCAGAACAACACCGCAAGCGGGCUCUCCUCUCCAGGUAAGAGUCUUGGGCAGGGAUUCCGCAAACCCAAAAAUCUCAGGCCCAACUGAACAGGCCUCGGUCCAGUAUACC